rnacentral:misc_RNA from 1 species
UCUGUUUCCGCUCCUUCAUCUUUCCCUACCACCCUCUGCAGGCGUAACUGCCCUUCUCUCUUUAGGCAAACAUAGACCUAUACUUACCACUCCAUCACCCCACCCCUUCUUACUCGCCCGCCUUCCCUCUCUGUGUGUUUGUGUGCAGCAUCGUGUGCAGGUCCGUCUUCCUCCCUUCUCUCCUGUGCUUUAAAGUGAUCACCAAAAGGAAGCAGUGACCUUUAUCAUAGACAACACGUCCGUGCUUGUGUACACACACACACGCACGCACACCCUACUGCCUACACAGACAACAGUCCACAUCGACCAGGAAAGGCAACGCCUUUGUCCAACACCUGUUUUCGGCGCCUUGCCGCUGUUGGUCAUACCCAGAACCCGUUAACUGCGCAGGGCUGACCGCCUUUCUCGAUUUUGUUGGGGUUUGUCUUAUUUCGUGCCUGGACUGUGCAUACGGUCAUCUCGCUCCUCCUCUACUAUUCCCCCCCCCCCCCCCCCAACCCAACCCACUCAAGCAUGGCGAACAUUGGUGAGCUGGACGCCUACAUCCAGAGCGGUACCGCGGUCGACGAUACCAAGCUCGACCAAUGGAUUCAAAUGAGUGACAUCUCAAAUGCAGACGGGUUCUACAUGGGCGAUGCCGCCGUCGUCAGCGAGGCUGUGCGCCGCGUCUCUCGCGUCGUCGUGGCGCAGUACUUGAACAACGCUGAUGUAAAGGCCGUGCCGCUGCGCCGCAAGACGAAGUUCUGCUUGCUGCUGAACAACUUCUCUCUCUACAAGCCGGUGCGGUCGGUGGUGUUCGAGUGCUUGGAGGACAUGACGAGUAUCUUCGAGAAGUCCAUCAAAGACGAGGGCACGAUGCCGUUUGAUUCAGAGCUAGGCCGCAUGUCGGAGCACGUACUAGUGCUGCUGAUGCGCGUGAUGGACUACAAACUGAAGGCUGCGGCCGUACACGAGUUUGCAGAGCACAACACGCAGUUUGCAAUUCAGCUGCUGCUGGCUAUCUUGCUGAAGGAGCCUCCGUACGAGUUCGAGCUGCGGUGCAACUGCAUUAGCGGCCUGCUAGGCUUCACCCAGCCGCAGGCCUUCUUUGGAGCUGGGGAAAAGAUCGAGGAGCACAGUUGUAACAAAUUCACGGAAAAGGUGGACUUUAUGCUGAACCUGAUGCUGCGUCUGCAGGCGAUCCAGGUGGUGAGCGACGUGCUCGGCGACGCCAUCGCAAGCUCGGAUACGGUACCGCAGUUGGCUCAGAGCGCUGUGAACAACACGAUGCAGACCAUCAUGAACAUCUUCAAGUUCUCCUCGAAGGAGUCGACACAGUGGCGUCAGCACAUCCUUCUCUCCACGACGUUACUCGACGGGACGGUGAUGAUGUAUGUGCAGUCGCUGGCCUCAAAUCUGCAUGAGACGAUGACUGCACGGGCGCCGCGCGUCGCUGGACAGUUGUUGCACUCCCUCAGCCUAUCUUUCCUCUUCGGAGCCUUCGCAGCGUACCACAUGGAGGAGGCGAGCCAGGAGUUGCGCAUCUUCUGCACCUUCUUCCACGACCUCUUCCAACUGUCGAUCCGCCCCAUCGUGGCAGAUGCGCGUGUGUCAGGGCAAAUGAUGGUUAUGUACAUCAACCUCCUCCACUUCAUGUGCAACGUCGAUGCCAUGGGCGAAGAGCCCUGCUAUCCGAUGGACGGCCUGCUGCCCGAGCUGUCGAGCGCUGCGCUGCGAUCGACCGUUGAGGCUUUCCUGAAGAAGGAGGUGGGCGGCUGCGGGCUGCCUUUCACGGAGGCGUGGUAUCGACAGUUCCGUCGUGUCACGGCCGACACCCUCAUCGCGCAGGAUUCGACCACGUUUCAGUGGAUCGACAGCUGCUUCCUUGCCAUGAUCUCACAGCUGACCGCGCAGCAGGUGCCGGUGGCCGCACCGGCUGCCCCGGCUGGUGGCGCGCGUCUGCUGAGCGAGAUACCUCCUCUGAGGCCGGAGAAGAAGAACAAGAUCUCUAUCGACAAGGCGGCCGCGCCGAUCCGGCACAAGGUGAAUCCGAGUGCGAAGCAGGACAGUGUCGAGGGCGUGGACGCCGACCUUCUGUGCGCGCUGACUGGCGCCGUCAUGAAGAACCCUGUCUCCUCGCCGUACGGGCAGACAUACGAAAAGGAGGCCAUCAUGAACUGGCUGGAGCAGAACGGCUCCGUCUGCCCCAUCACCGGACGCCCUCUGACGGCCGCCCAACUGAACCCGAACACGGCUGUGGCGACGAAGAUCAUGCAACAGAUAGUGCGUCAGACCAUGGCAACACAACUGGUGGCCGAGGACGACAUGUACAAAUUCUGAUGAGGGCGUCCAGGCGGAACAGCCUCAGAACAAGGUCCGCUCUCGUGUUGAUCGCGGCCCCCUUUUCCCGCUUGUCUUCCCCUCUCGCGUUUCCCGCCCGCUCCACCACACACGUGUGAGUGCCUGAAGUCUGUAUUGAUUGCACCAGGAGUCUGGGCAUACGCGCAUGCACAAGCUGCACGGGAUCUCUUUCUGCUGUCCUGAGCAGAUCU